GGUAUCUAGGCAUAUCACGCGUUUUCAAAGCAGCCAAUGAGUUUAAAGCGUUGGUUUUGUAUCACGUGAAUCCUAUCAACCAAUCAGAAAUAGCGCGGGCGAAAUGAAAAAAGAAAAAACGCGAUUGGAAAUGGAUGGUUAAUAAAAUUCAGAAUAUUGCAAAACAAGGACAGUGUAUACAGCGUGUUUAAAUCUUCCAGAAAUGCAGCUGUGCCCUCUUAACAGCAGUUAUAGAUGAAGCAAAGUAUGGUAGCAAGUAAUAUAGAUAUACACACAUGCCGAAGAAGAAGAUUGUAAUAUCUGGAGAAAACAUUUCUUACGUCACGAAAUAGACACCGUCACACUGGCCUAUAGAUGAUUGAUAUAUUUAAGUGCUUUUAAGAACAGUGUUUGGAUGACGAAUUUCUGUAAAUACGGAUUUUUAAUUUUAAUGCUUAUUAUUAAAACUUUCUGUAAUUA